rnacentral:rRNA from 1 species
AACGAACGCUGGCGGCAGGCCUAACACAUGCAAGUCGAACGCUCCGCAAGGGGAGUGGCGCACGGGUGAGUAACACGUGGGAACCUACCUUCUGGUACGGAACAACCAAGGGAAACUUUGGCUAAGACCGUAUACGACCUCCGGGUGAAAGAUUGAUCGCCGGAAGAGGGGCCCGCGUCCGAUUAGGUAGUUGGUGAGGUAACGGCUCACCAAGCCUUCGAUCGGUAGCUGGUCUGAGAGGAUGACCAGCCACACUGGGACUGAGACACGGCCCAGACUCCUACGGGAGGCAGCAGUGGGGAAUAUUGGACAAUGGGCGCAAGCCUGAUCCAGCCAUGCCGCGUGAGUGAUGAAGGCCUUCGGUUGUUAAGUAC